GUGGGGAAUAUUGGACAAUGGGCGCAAGCCUGAUCCAGCCAUGCCGCGUGAGUGAUGAAGGCCUUAGGGUUGUAAAGCUCUUUCAGUGGGGACGAUAAUGACGGUACCCACAGAAGAAGCCCCGGCUAACUUCGUGCCAGCAGCCGCGGUAAUACGAAGGGGGCUAGCGUUGUUCGGAUUUACUGGGCGUAAAGCGCACGUAGGCGGAUCGUUAAGUCGGGGGUGAAAUCCUGGAGCUCAACUCCAGAACUGCCUUCGAUACUGGCGAUCUUGAGUCCGGAAGAGGUGAGUGGAACUCCUAGUGUAGAGGUGGAAUUCGUAGAUAUUAGGAAGAACACCAGUGGCGAAGGCGGCUCACUGGUCCGGUACUGACGCUGAGGUGCGAAAGCGUGGGGAGCAAACAGGAUUAGAAACCCUGGUAGGCC
rnacentral:rRNA from 1 species